ACUUAAGCAUAUCAAUAAGCGGAGGAAAAGAAACCAACAGGGAUUGCCCUAGUAACGGCGAGUGAAGCGGCAACAGCUCAAAUUUGAAAUCUGGCUCUCUUUGGGGGUCCGAGUUGUAAUUUGCAGAGGAUGCUUUGGCAUUGGCGGCGGUCUAAGUUCCUUGGAACAGGACAUCGCAGAGGGUGAGAAUCCCGUACGUGGGCGCCUGCCUUUGCCGUGUAAAGCUCCUUCGACGAGUCGAGUUGUUUGGGAAUGCAGCUCUAAAUGGGAGGUAAAUUUCUUCUAAAGCUAAAUACCGGCCAGAGACCGAUAGCGCACAAGUAGAGUGAUCGAAAGAUGAAAAGUACUUUGGAAAGAGAGUCAAAAAGCACGUGAAAUUGUUGAAAGGGAAGCGCUUGCAGCCAGACUUGCCCGCAGUUGCUCACCUAGGCUAUGGCCUGGGGCACUCUUCUGUGGGCAGGCCAGCAUCAGUUUGGGCGGUCGGAUAAAGGCCUCUGUCAAGUAUCUCCCUUCGGGGUGACCUUAUAGGGGAGGCGUAAUGCGACCAGCCCGGACUGAGGUCCGCGCAUCUGCUAGGAUGCUGGCGUAAUGGCUGUAAGCGGCCCGUCUUGAAACACGGACCAAGGAGUCUAACAUCUAUGCGAGUGUUUGGGUGUCAAGCCCGGGCGCGCAAUGAAAGUGAACGGAGGUGGGAACCCUUUGGGUGCACCAUCGACCGAUCCUGAUGUCUUCGGAUGGAUUUGAGUAAGAGCAUAGCUGUUGGGACCCGAAAGAUGGUGAACUAUGCUUGAAUAGGGUGAAGCCAGAGGAAACUCUGGUGGAGGCUCGCAGCGGUUCUGACGUGCAAAUCGAUCGUCAAAUUUGGGCAUAGGGGCGAAAGACUAAUCGAACC
rnacentral:rRNA from 1 species